rnacentral:rRNA from 1 species
AACGGAGUAGCAUACUUAGUGGCGGACGGGUGAGUAACGCGUGAGAUCUACCUUCAGGACGGAGACAACAGUUGGAAACGACUGCUAACCCCCGAUGUACCGAAAGGGCAAAUAUUUAUAGCCUGAAGAAGAGCUCGCGUCCGAUUAGCUAGUUGGAGAGGUAAAAGCUCACCAAGGCGACGAUCGGUAGCUGGUCUGAGAGGACGAUCAGCCACACUGGGACUGAGACACGGCCCAGGCUCCUACGGGAGGCAGCAGUGGGGAAUUUUCCGCAAUGGGCGAAAGCCUGACGGAGCAAGACCGCGUGGGGGAAGAAGGCUCUUGGGUUGUAAACCCCUUUUCUCUGGGAAGAACGCAAUGACGGUACCAGAGGAAUCAGCAUCGGCUAACUCCGUGCCAGCAGCCGCGGUAAGACGGAGGAUGCAAGCGUUAUCCGGAAUGAUUGAGCGUAAAGCGUCCGCAGGUGGCAGUUCAAGUCUGCUGUCAAAGACCGGGGCUCAACCUCGGAAAGGCAG